UGGCAAACGGGUGAGUAACACGUGGGUGACCUGCCUUAGAGCGGGGGAUAACGUCCCGAAAGGGUCGCUAAUACCGCAUGACAUCCUGCCUUUGAACAGGCGGUGAUCAAUGCUGGGGAUCGCAAGACCUAGCGCUCAAAGAGGGGCCCGCGCCUGAUUAGCUAGUUGGUGGGGUAACGGCUCACCAAGGCAACGAUCAGUAUCCGGCCUGAGAGGGCGGACGGACACACUGGGACUGAGACACGGCCCAGACCCCUACGGGAGGCAGCAGUGGGGAAUUGUUCGCAAUGGGCGCAAGCCUGACGACGCAACGCCGCGUGGAGGAUGAAGAUCUUCGGGUCGUAAACUCCUUUCGAUCGAGAC
rnacentral:rRNA from 1 species